rnacentral:lncRNA from 1 species
UAGUCAUGUAAUUAGAAGAAAAAAAAAUUGAAAUAGCAAAUUGCAUGAAAUCGUGAUUAAUAACAUUAAUUAAACCUGAAUAAUUAAUAUAAAAUCCUAAUAAGAAGAUUACAUUUGCUAAUUAGUCUUGUAGCUUACCAAAAGGCUAAAUGAAUGCACAUUCACACAAAAUAACAUAAUUACUACAUUAUAUUUCUUCUGAUGCACCUCAACCAUCUACUUUGCUUUGUUGUGUUCUUGUUGGAGGGGCUGUCGGGUUAACAGCAGGACGAGCUUGAACCGGAUAACCGUGACGAGGAGCAGUGCCGUAGAAAUGCUUAGUUUCUCUUAACAGAUUGAUAUCCUUGUGUUGAACACUGCCUAGUCCAUAGAUAUACUCGUUUUAAGACUUACCACACAGUGAAAGAAACAAAAGAAAUAAGAGUCAAGCAACGUUCAUAAUCAAACACAAUAUCAGAUGAAUAUAGCAAACUGAACUCACCAAAACAUAUGAGAAUUAAUUCAAAUUCAAAAAAACUUAUAAAACAUACUGCACCAAUUCAAAAUCAAACAAAUUAUAAACUAAACUGCACCAAUUCAAAUGAAACAAAGUAUAAACAAAAACUGCACCAAUUCAAAAUGAAACAAACGAUUAACCAAACUGCAGUAAUUGAAAAUCAAACAAAUGAGUACCUUGAGAUAUUCUUUGUUCAGCACAACUCGAGAGAGUAUAACACCAGAUGAGGCAGUUUGGCUGAGACCAUUGAAAUAAUCAUCUUCUUCCAUAAUCUUGCUCGAGGAGGAAGCCUUCUAUGCUGCACUGUGUUUUAAAUGGCGCGAGGCGACGUAAGGCGAUGAAGGGCUGGUUUGAGCCCUGAGCCUAGGCGCACUUCACUCCGAGCCUUUGGUAUCUGAGGCGCAACUACACAAGAAAACAUAAAGUUAGUUAUAUUCAUUGAUCUCUAAACCAUGUUAGCACCAUGUGUGAGUUUAAAACCAUGUAAGACCCAAUAAAAAUGUGCAUCAUCGUUUAAAGAACAGAGAAAGAGCAAUAGUUGAAGCCAUAAGUCUGAAACAGAGAAUAAAAGAAAAACAAAGAGGUUGUUAAAAAGAUUAACGUGAAAAGGUUUAUCCAAAUUGCGAAGACUCUUUAGGUUUUUUAGGAAUAGCUGUAGCAGCAAUAAUGUAAUAAUGUUCACAGGAAAUUAAUUUUUGGAAACAUAAAAAGCAAGUAAAUAUUAUGUUUAACAAUAAUUACCUUUUAUUUUCAUAGGCGCAAAGCGACGAGAGGUGCGUUUGAUACCACGGCGUCACGGAGCGACAGCCUUUGGGCCAGAGCCUAGCCUCAUCUAUUAGAGGAGAUGAACCUUUAACCUUACCUCGCCUCGAGCCUAGGCGUCGCCUUUUUAAACACAACUUGCACCUUUUGUAAUAGAACUUGAAAAACAAGAGAAAGAAAGAAUCAGUUUAAAUCAUCAUCUCAAACACAAGUUAAAAUCAAAGCUUGAAAUCCUAACACUUAAUUAGUUUAAAACUUUUAUUAGAACACAACAGAGACUUUAAACAAAUGAAGUAAAGACACAAGAAAAUAGACUGAACAGAUCCUAGUUGUCAUACGAGAUCCGGCUUAUGAACUAUAUCCAAUCGAUUUAUUAGAACACACAUAGACAAAGAACACAUGAAGUGAAGACACGAGAGUUAAGCAACUAACCAGAUACAGCUUAGCAACUAGAAUGAAGACACAAGAGUUAGGAAACUAACCAUAUCUACUAGAAUCAUGUGUGCAACACCAAACCAAACAUGCAUGUGAAGAGACACGAAUCUCCAGAAAUUAAUAACAAAUGAAGAACACAGAGCAAACACUAGAGCAAACACAUAAAACAUCGUCUCAAACUAAACUUAAACAAAGCUUGAAAUCUCUUUGAAAGAGAAAAAUCAAAUUGUGCUUACAUCAAACACAUCUGAAGUUUAUAAUUCGGACAUAUCAAAUAAAAAACAUUAUCUGAAAGACUGAAACUAAGAACCAAUCAAAGCUUAACCUAGAAAAAUGAGAGAAAUCAAGAUUAAAAAUCAUCUGAAGUUUAGGGUUUCUAAUCCCAGACAACUAACAGCAAAGAAUCAAAUUCUAUAACCCUAAACAAAGAAAUCGAGCUAACAGAGUAUCAGGUUAAAAAGUAACCAAAUCCUUGACAACCAAGAAGAAAGAGUGAAAGAUCUAUAACCAUAGACAAAGAAAUCGAGAAAACCAAAACAAAAUCAACCAAACACAGAGAUUUAUCGCUAGAAGGAGAAGAAGAGAUGAAGUAGUACCUGGUACUUGUUGUCGUUCACGACGGCGAUCUUGUUGUCGGCCGUAGAAAUACAUCGAAUCUAGCACCGUUGGAAGAGACAGAACGAAGGUGAGAUGAAGAGAUGAGAGAGAAAUCGAGCAAACGCAGAGAUAUUAUCGCUAGAAGGAGAAUAAGAGAUGACGUUGUACCUGCUAGACCAGAGCCGGAGGUGAAGAGAUGCGAGAGACGAGAGUGAGUGCUUAGACUUUAGGGAUUCUGUGUUUUCUGAUUUUUUUUUCUAAGUAUGGAGAGUGAGUGUCGAGAGAGUGUCAAAAA